CGGUGGCGCCGCGCAGUCAUCGCGGAGCUGACGCGGAGGCUGGUGGGCGCUGGGAGCGAUGCCGUACGCCAACCAGCCUACCGUGCGGAUCACGGAGCUCACUGACGAGAAUGUCAAGUUCAUCAUCGAGAACACCGACCUGGCGGUGGCCAAUUCGAUUCGGAGGGUCUUCAUCGCUGAGGUGCCCAUAAUAGCCAUUGACUGGGUUCAGAUUGAUGCCAAUUCCUCAGUCCUUCAUGAUGAAUUCAUCGCUCACAGGCUUGGAUUAAUUCCCCUCAUUAGUGAUGACAUUGUGGACAAGCUGCAGUACUCUCGGGACUGCACAUGUGAGGAGUUCUGCCCCGAGUGCUCGGUGGAGUUCACCCUCGACGUGCGGUGCAAUGAAGACCAGACGCGACAUGUCACAUCUCGAGACCUCAUCUCCAACAGCCCCCGGGUCAUUCCGGUGACGUCCCGGAACCGAGAUAAUGACCCCAAUGACUACGUGGAGCAGGAUGACAUCCUCAUCGUCAAGUUGAGAAAGGGCCAGGAGCUGAGACUUCGAGCCUAUGCCAAAAAGGGCUUUGGCAAGGAGCAUGCCAAGUGGAACCCUACUGCAGGGGUGGCUUUUGAAUACGAUCCAGACAAUGCCCUGAGGCACACAGUGUACCCCAAGCCCGAGGAAUGGUAUGUUCCCCUUAGGAGUGAUGGCAGGCAUUUGGGGUGGGUGUGGCAUAGAAAUGGGUGUUGUUGACUGAGAUGUGGCAGGCUCUCUAGGAACUUGGGUGCCCCAAAAGGAGCAGUGGCAACCUUGUGCUGACCUGUGU
rnacentral:sRNA from 1 species